rnacentral:rRNA from 1 species
UACGUAGGGUGCAAGCGUUAAUCGGAAUUACUGGGCGUAAAGCGUGCGCAGGCGGUUUUGUAAGUCUGUCGUGAAAUCCCCCGGGCUCAACCUGGGAAUUGCGAUGGAGACUGCAAGGCUAGAAUCUGGCAGAGGGGGGGUAGAAUUCCACGUGUAGCAGUGAAAUGCGUAGAGAUGUGGAGGAACACCGAUGGCGAAGGCAGCCCCCUGGGUCAAGAUUGACGCUCAUGCAC